GUAGGUUAUUUUUUUUUUUCUCACCCACAUGUGUAUCUGCUAUCCAUUAAGUAAUUGAAUUUCAACCGUCAUUUCAGAAAUUUAUAAUUUUUUCUGGGUAAUCUCAAAGUUUCAAUUUUUUGUUUCCACCAUUGAGUUAUAGCUGGGUUGAUUGAUCUAUUGUUAUCUCACUAUGUCGGUACCUGGUACCAUUGAUUCAAACUCAAAUUCAAGUUUGUUUCUUUCUCUGCCUGAUGAUGUGUUUGCCAUGGUGUCACGCUUCCUCUUGCCCAGAGAUGUGUGUAAUCUCAGCUUAUGCUGCAGGAGCCUCUAUGCUCUUGCAGCCUGUGAGAAAGUGUGGCUUACACAGUGUGACAGGAUGGGGAUAGUUCCCCAUAAAGACCUUGUUGACUGGAGAACCGGUGUCUCAUCAUACAAGGCGAUUUGCCGUUUUCUUCUCAAUAUUAAACCCUUGAUUGGGAUAUGGGUUCAUCAGAAUCCUGAGCUUGGGAACCUUGUCUAUGUCAUGCCUGGUUUCGUAUCGGUUGUUGGGUGUAGGAUAAUCCCUCAGGAGCUUGGUCCAAUGGGGAUUCAUGAUGGUCCAAUCCUAUGGGCUCCUGUGUUUGAAAUUAUUGGUGAUUUUGAUGGUUCACCAACAUUUUUUCUUCAUGGGAGGGAGAAGGGGUUGGACUAUAUUUGUCAUGGAUCAUUCAAGUCCAUAAACAAAUCUUGCAAUGUACUAUUGCUUGAGGUUGAACCAAGGGAAAAAUGUAUAAGAAAUAAGGAAAAUUCUAGGUUACAAGGAGUGGUUGGAAGUAAUAAUAAGGCAAUGGUUCCCUUCGGCAGGUUGUCUCUAAGUGAUAGGAAAAAGUUGCUUGAGUUCACUACUAGGCAUGUUCGGCAAGAGGUUCCUCAUAUGGCAAUGGGACCCUUGUUUCCAAGGUUAAGGGAUUGCUAUGAGAAUUUCCAGAAAGAAUUGGUGCUGUUGAGGGGAAGAAGGGCACUCCUUAGUCAAAUGUACAGGCUCGAUCAUAGUCAAGUUGAUAACAUAGAAAAUUCUGAGGAGGCUGUUGGUCCUAAGCAAUUAGAACAAGAUGACAGAAGAAAGAGUAUCGAGUGUUCAAGGGCUUUAACUAUUCUUCUGGAUGGGGAGGGCAGUGAUGCACAAUAUAACAAGAGAAAAAAUGGUGUAAAAUUCUGGGGUAGCCUUAAACAGAUGCUAGGAGGGUCUAGCUCAAACAACAGCCAUCAUGAGAAGAAGCAUGUGCGGCUUGAAGAGUUUCUUGGAUCAAAUGAUACAAUAAUGCUGACAUUAAAGGCCUCAACUGUAAAAUUAUCUGCUUAUCGAGCAUGGCCAAAUAUGCCUGAGAGUUGGUUUGCACUUUACAAGAUGCCAUUGCAAGAUCCAACGGAGGACCAAGUUUAUGCCGGUUUAUGGGGAGGAACUUUUGGUUGGCCUCCUGGAAAACCUUCCGAAGACAAGCCUGGAAAGGCUUUAUUCUUUCUUCUGCUCUCUUAUGAGGAGUCUCAUGGACAACAGCUUCUCAUUGCAACCAAAAUAUUGGAAGGCACACAUUAUGUGUUACAUCCAAAUGGUUCAGCAAUGUUUAUAGUGAAUAUCAACGAGCCUUCAUCUGAACCAUUUCCUUGGAACUCUGAUGCUGACUCCUAUCCGAUUAAUAUCAAGCAUUCUUUCACGGGUGAGGGUAUUGCAAAUGGUUACGGAUUCAGAUACCCUGGAUCAAAGCCUGGUUCCCUCUUUGAAUUUCAAGACGGUGUCCUUGCCUUCAUUUGGAAGGACUCGAGGUCUGUUUUGACGUUGCAGAGACUUAACUUGCAACAGCUUUUGAAGAAGGGAGAAAGGGUGCAUUGUCUGCCUCCCAUCACAAAUUUUUCAUGCUUGACAAAAUCCUACUCAAAUGUGUUUACUGGAUUUCCUGAUGCUUACACAAGUUCAUCGUCACCAAGCACUUCUGAAAAGAAAAGCUCGUAUUCAUGAUUUGCUGAAGAAAAGUUUAAAAGGGCCGUCUCAACUAGAAGCGAGGCUUCUUUCUAUAAUCAGUAGAAACACAACUAGUAUAUUAGUGGGUUGGGGACUACAUGCUUUUUACGCGCCCCUGGCCGGUUUCCAAUACUCAACAAGACCUGUUAUUUGUCGAAUAACACACCUGCUAGUUCCUGCUGCUGUGUUUCAUGUUGCUGCAUUCCGAAUAUCAUAGAUGGUAGUCUUUGCCUUAUAAGUGCUAUGAAUUAGCUUCGCAUUGAAGUAUAUAGAUAUACUAUACCAGGCUGUUUAUACAGAUGGUUAAAACCAUUUAUUAAGGAUUCAAAUGAAAGUACAUCUCAUAUAAAAUGAAGGCAUGGUAAAUGCCUUGUAUGACUACAUUGAUCAUAGUUUAUAAAGUCAAUAGUUGUGGCCUCCGAAUUAAUACGGUUGCCAGAAAUUUACCUAGUUAUGGGAAGAAUAGUGAUCUUCAAAUUUAAUGAUCCAAUAAUAACUAAGUCUAUUUUUUUCUUAAUUUCAUAAAAA